GACGAACGCUGGCGGCGUGCUUAACACAUGCAAGUCGAACGGAAAGGCCCUGCUUUUGUGGGGUGCUCGAGUGGCGAACGGGUGAGUAACACGUGAGUAACCUGCCCUUGACUUUGGGAUAACUUCAGGAAACUGGGGCUAAUACCGGAUAGGAGCUCCUGCUGCAUGGUGGGGGUUGGAAAGUUUCGGCGGUUGGGGAUGGACUCGCGGCUUAUCAGCUUGUUGGUGGGGUAGUGGCUUACCAAGGCUUUGACGGGUAGCCGGCCUGAGAGGGUGACCGGCCACAUGGGGACGGAGAUACGGCCCAGACUCCUACGGGAGGCAGCAGUGGGGAAUAUUGCACAAGGGGCGGAAGCCUGAUGCAGCAACGCCGCGUGCGGGAUGACGGCCUUCGGGUUGUAAACCGCUUUCGCCUGUGACGAAGCGUGAGUGACGGUAAUGGGUAAAGAAGCACCGGCUAACUACGU
rnacentral:rRNA from 1 species